UUCUUCUGCUUAUAUCAUUGAGUCACUUAAUUUAUGGCAUGGUAGACUUGGACAUGUAAAUUAUGAUACCCUACGUAGGUUAAUUAAUUUACAACAUAUUCCAACAUUCCAAAUUGAUCAUAAACAUAAAUGUGAAAUUUGUGUUUUAAUUUAGGCACAUGAGAAUCAAUAUUAAUAAAAUACUUCUAUAAGAAAUAAAAUUGUUAUAAAAUAAUAAAUUAUUCUAAUUUUUU
rnacentral:lncRNA from 1 species